AGUUGGUGAGGUAAAGNNNCACCAAGGCAACGAUCCGUAGCUGGUCUGAGAGGAUGAUCAGCCACAUCGGGACUGAGACACGGCCCGAACUCCUACGGGAGGCAGCAGUGGGGAAUAUUGGACAAUGGGGGCAACCCUGAUCCAGCCAUGCCGCGUGUGUGAAGAAGGCCCUCGGGUUGUAAAGCACUUUCAGCGAGGAAGAACGCCUAGCGGUUAAUACCCGCUAGGAAAGACAUCACUCGCAGAAGAAGCACCGGCUAACUCCGUGCCAGCAGCCGCGGUAAUACGGAGGGUGCAAGCGUUAAUCGGAAUUACUGGGCGUAAAGCGCGCGUAGGUGGCUUGAUAAGCCGGUUGUGAAAGCCCCGGGCUCAACCUGGGAACGGCAUCCGGAACUGUCAAGCUAGAGUGCAGGAGAGGAAGGUAGAAUUCCCGGUGUAGCGGUGAAAUGCGUAGAGAUCGGGAGGAAUACCAGUGGCGAAGGCGGCCUUCUGGACUGACACUNNNNNNGAGGUGCGAAAGCGUGGGUAGAAGACAGGAUUAGNNNNNNNNNNAGUCCACGCCGUAAACGAUAUGGACCAGCCGUUGGGUGCCUAGCGCACUUUGUGGCGAAGUUAACGCGAUA
rnacentral:rRNA from 1 species